rnacentral:rRNA from 1 species
GGAUGACGUCAAGUCAUCAUGGCCCUUACGGCCUGGGCUACACACGUGCUACAAUGGUCGGUACAAAGGGUUGCCAAGCCGCGAGGUGGAGCUAAUCCCAUAAAACCGAUCGUAGUCCGGAUCGCAGUCUGCAACUCGACUGCGUGAAGUCGGAAUCGCUAGUAAUCGCGAAUCAGAAUGUCGCGGUGAAUACGUUCCCGGGCCUUGUACACACCGCCCGUCACACCAUGGGAGUG